CCUGGCGGCACUAGCGCGGUGGUCCCACCUGACCCCAUGCCGAACUCAGAAGUGAAACGCCGUAGCGCCGAUGGUAGUGUGGGGUCUCCCCAUGUGAUAGUAGGGAACUGCCAGGC
rnacentral:rRNA from 1 species